rnacentral:rRNA from 1 species
CAGGUCUUGACAUCCAACUAACGAGAUAGAGAUAUGUUAGGUGCCCUUCGGGGAAAGUUGAGACAGGUGGUGCAUGGUUGUCGUCAGCUCGUGUCGUGAGAUGUUGGGUUAAGUCCCGCAACGAGCGCAACCCCUGCCAUUAGUUGCUACGCAAGAGCACUCUAACGGGACCGCUACCGACAAGGUGGAGGAAGGUGGGGACGACGUCAAAUCAUCAUGCCCCUUAUGACCUGGGCUACACACGUAAUACAAUGGCCGUUAACAGAGGGAAGCAAUACAGCGAUGUGGAGCAAAACCCUAAAAACGGUCUCAGUUCGGAUUGUAGGCUGCAACCCGCCUACAUGAAGUUGGAAUUGCUAGUAAUCGCGGAUCAGCAUGCCGCGGUGAAUACGUUCCC